GGUUGUGUAGUGUAGUGGUUAUCACUUUGGAUUUUGAUUCGCUUCAGAUGUUCCAAUAACCUGGGUUCGAGUCCCAGCACGACCU